UACAGAGGUCCCAAGCGUUGUUCGGAUUCACUGGGCGUAAAGGGUGCGUAGGUGGUGAGGUAAGUCUUAUGUGAAAGCUCGGAGCUCAACUCCGAAAUGGCAUAGGAAACUACCUUGCUCGAGGAUUGGAGGGGGGACUGGAAUACUUGGUGUAGCAGUGAAAUGCGUAGAUAUCAAGUGGAACACCAGUGGCGAAGGCGAGUCCCUGGACAAUUCCUGACACUGAGGCACGAAAGCUAGGGGAGCAAACGGG
rnacentral:rRNA from 1 species